rnacentral:rRNA from 1 species
UACGUAGGCAGCAAGCGUUGUUCGGAGUUACUGGGCGUAAAGGGUGUGUAGGCGGCCUGUUAAGUUCCGUGUGAAAUCUCCCGGCUCAACCGGGAGGGUGCGCGGAAAACUGGCGGGCUGAGAGUACGGGAUAGGGGAGAGGUAGAAUUACCUUCGGUGGUGAGCGGUGAAAAUGCGUAGAUAUCAGGAGGAAUACCGGUGGUGUAGACGGCUCUCUGGACCGUAACUGACGCUGAGGCACGAAAGCCAGGGGAGCAAACGGG